rnacentral:rRNA from 1 species
AGUGAACGCUGGCGGUAGGCCUAACACAUGCAAGUCGAACGGCAGCACAGGAGAGCUGCUCUCUGGGUGGCGAGUGGCGGACGGGUGAGGAAUACAUCGGAAUCUACUUUUUCGUGGGGGAUAACGUAGGGAAACUUACGCUAAUACCGCAUACGACCUACGGGUGAAAGCAGGGGAUCUUCGGACCUUGCGCGAUUGAAUGAGCCGAUGUCGGAUUAGCUAGUUGGCGGGGUAAAGGCCCACCAAGGCGACGAUCCGUAGCUGGUCUGAGAGGAUGAUCAGCCACACUGGAACGGGGACACGGGCCAGACUCCUACGGGAGGCAGCAGUGGGGAAUAUUGGACAAUGGGCGCAAGCCUGAUCCAGCCAUACCGCGUGGGUGAAGAAGGCCUUCGGGUUGUAAAGCCCUUUUGUUGGGAAAGAAAUCCAGCUGGUUAAUACCCGGUUGGGAUGACGGUACCCAAAGAAUAAGCACCGGCUAACUUCGUGCCAGCAGCCGCGGUAA